UACAGAGGUCUCAAGCGUUGUUCGGAUUCAUUGGGCGUAAAGGGUGCGUAGGUGGCGCCGUAAGUCAGGUGUGAAAUUUCGGAGCUUAACUCCGAAACUGCAUUUGAUACUGCGGUGCUUUGAGGACUGGAGAGGAGACUGGAAUUUACGGUGUAGCAGUGAAAUGCGUAGAGAUCGUAAGGAAGACCAGUGGCGAAGGCGGGUCUCUGGACAGUUCCUGACAGCUGAGG
rnacentral:rRNA from 1 species